rnacentral:tRNA from 1 species
GAGACCCUAGUAAAUUAAUUAUAUAGCCCUGUCAGAGCUAAGUAACAGAGUAAUGUCUGUGGGUUUCA